UGCAGUCGAACGGUGAACACGGAGCUUGCUCUGUGGGAUCAGUGGCGAACGGGUGAGUAACACGUGAGCAACCUGCCCCUGACUCUGGGAUAAGCGCUGGAAACGGCGUCUAAUACUGGAUAUGUGACGUGACCGCAUGGUCUGCGUCUGGAAAGAAUUUCGGUUGGGGAUGGGCUCGCGGCCUAUCAGCUUGUUGGUGAGGUAAUGGCUCACCAAGGCGUCGACGGGUAGCCGGCCUGAGAGGGUGACCGGCCACACUGGGACUGAGACACGGCCCAGACUCCUACGGGAGGCAGCAGUGGGGAAUAUUGCACAAUGGGCGCAAGCCUGAUGCAGCAACGCCGCGUGAGGGAUGACGGCCUUCGGGUUGUAAACCUCUUUUAGCAGGGAAGAAGCGAAAGUGACGGUACCUGCAGAAAAAGCGCCGGCUAACUACGUGCCAGCAGCCGCGGUAAUACGUAGGGCGCAAGCGUUAUCCGGAAUUAUUGGGCGUAAAGAGCUCGUAGGCGGUUUGUCGCGUCUGCUGUGAAAUCCGGAGGCUCAACCUCCGGCCUGCAGUGGGUACGGGCAGACUAGAGUGCGGUAGGGGAGAUUGGAAUUCCUGGUGUAGCGGUGGAAUGCGCAGAUAUCAGGAGGAACACCGAUGGCGAAGGCAGAUCUCUGGGCCGUAACUGACGCUGAGGAGCGAAAGGGUGGGGAGCAAACAGGCUUAGAUACCCUGGUAGUCC
rnacentral:rRNA from 1 species